GUAGCCAACUUGAGAGUCAAGGGAUGUGUGUUAAUCCAUGCUGUUGUCCAUGGACUAAAGCAGCAUUUCCCUACUGAUACAGUUCUAUGAUGAAUGUCCAGGGCCUAAUGCUGUCUUGCUUAAAGGAAAAGGAUUUCAGCGCGGCAAGGACUUCAAUAGUUUGGCAGACCAUGGAAAAGCAUCAUCGGCAAUAAGAAAUCAUGUUUUGUCCUAUAGUGAAAUGCAUUUCCUAAGCUACUUCAAAUGCCUGUCAGGAAUGAGUUGCUCUGAUUCUCUUGGAAAAAUCAAAAACGAUUCACAGUAUUUUGAGCAGGAAUAAACAAACAGCCAUAAGAUUUAA